rnacentral:rRNA from 1 species
UACGGAGGGUGCGAGCGUUAAUCGGAAUUACUGGGCGUAAAGGGUGCGUAGGUGGGGUAAUAAGUUAGCUGUGAAAUACCUGGGCUUAACCUAGGAAGGUCAGCUAAGACUGUUAUUCUGGAGUAUAGGAGAGGGUAGUGGAAUUUCCGGUGUAGCGGUGAAAUGCGUAGAGAUCGGAAGGAACACCAGUGGCGAAGGCGGCUACCUGGC